GAUUGACCUCGGAUCAGGUAGGGAUACCCGCUGAACUUAAGCAUAUCAAUAAGCGGAGGAAAAGAAACCAACAGGGAUUGCCUCAGUAACGGCGAGUGAAGCGGCAACAGCUCAAAUUUGAAAUCUGGCUCCUUCGGGGCCCGAGUUGUAAUUUGUAGAGGACGUUUCGGGUGCGGCCCGGUCUAAGUCCCUUGGAACAGGGCGUCAUAGAGGGUGAGAAUCCCGUAUGUGACCGGUGACCAACCCCAUGUGAAACCCCUUCGACGAGUCGAGUUGUUUGGGAAUGCAGCUCAAAAUGGGUGGUAAAUUCCAUCUAAAGCUAAAUACUGGCCAGAGACCGAUAGCGCACAAGUAGAGUGAUCGAAAGAUGAAAAGCACUUUGGAAAGAGAGUCAAACAGUACGUGAAAUUGUUGAAAGGGAAGCGCUGGCAACCAGACCUGCCCCGGGCGAUCAGCGGGUGUUCUCACCCGUGCACUCGCCCGCGAUCAGGCCAGCAUCGGUUUCGGCGGUCGGAUACAGACCCGGGGAACGUGGCUCUCUUCGGGGAGUGUUAUAGCCCCGGGUGCAAUGCGGCCAGCCGGGACCGAGGACCGCGCUUCGGCUAGAUGCUGGCGUAAUGGUUGUCAGCGACCGUCU
rnacentral:rRNA from 1 species